rnacentral:rRNA from 1 species
AUACGGAGGGGACUAGCGUUGUUCGGAAUUACUGGGCGUAAAGCGUACGUAGGCGGAUCGGAAAGUAUAGGGUGAAAUCCCAGGGCUUAACCCUGGAACUGCCUUAUAAACUCCCGGUCUUGAGUUCGAGAGAGGUGAGUGGAAUUCCGAGUGUAGAGGUGAAAUUCGUAGAUAUUCGGAGGAACACCAGUGGCGAAGGCGGCUCACUGGCUCGAUACUGACGCUGAGGUACGAAAGUGUGGGGAGCAAACAGGAUUAGAAACCCCAGUAGUCC